UGUCCCGCAUUUGUUCCUCUGGAAGCACAGGCCAGAAAUACUCUCUCAACGUUCUGACUUCAGCUGACAUUACUGUUAUUGCUGUCAAGCUCAUUUGUCUGAUUUUUACAAUGUAAUUGUGGUACCAAGUAUAAUAACAGCAGGUUGAAUGUGAAGAUAACAAGGCAUAGAGCUGGAUGAACACAGCAGGCCAAGCAGCAUCAGAGGAGCAGGAAAGCUGUCGUUUCGGGCCCAGACCCUUCUUCAGAAAGAUAUUCAGAAAAGAAUGUUGAGGUGUUCACGUUUUGAGAGAUAACUUGUGUUCCGCAAAUUGGGUUCUGCACUACAAGCACAUGGAUACAAGUAAUUGGGAACACUUUAUGAUUGGAUUUGGAAUUCUUGAUAAUAAAAGUGAAUUGAAGGGCUCUGAUCCAAUGGAAUUCACUCACAAGGGAAUGAUUGGAACCAUUUAAUCCAUUGAUAAUGGAGGAAUGACAUUUGUGGGCGAUCUCGCAGAAUUAUUAGAGGAAAUGAUAUGCAUAAGCGACGCACUCAACACUUUGGGGAUUGUGAAGAAACCUUGCAUUGGGGUUGCUGAAGCCAAUAAUCCAACCAAACCAUCCACCUUGUCUAACUCUGUUUACGUUGGUCCAGUGAAAUCGUGAUGAGUUAAAUUCAAAGAACCUGAAAAUCCGAUUAUGAAGCUGUCAAUCAUUCCCACUGGUGGAAUAGGAAAUCCAGUCAAAGGAUGCCUGUGAGCUGAAGUUCUAUACCGAUAACCCUAGAUUAGCUGAAUUCUUGGAUGUUUGUCAUAUGAUGCUACAAGCCAGUUGCAUUGGAGUUAGGCUGUACCAGAGCUUGAAAUCACAGGCAAGCUAUCAUUCAGUAUAGAGGUAAAAGAUGUUCAAAUUUUGCAAAUAUAAGUAAAUCUGUGAGAAAAGUUAAAAGUACUGUUGGUUGGGAACAAAAUGAAGCGGAGGCAAAGACACUAGGCCUCAAGGAGUGUGCCUGCAGUGAUGGAUGGCUGGACCGACUCAAGGCCAGGAAUAUCCUUGUUCACUAUGUGGUGAGAGUAUGGCGGCUCCAGCAGCAAUAAUAGAUUGGAUGCAAAAUGGUCUUGCCCAUCUCCUGAAUGAGUAUGUACCAAGAGGUGUUUUAUGAGAAUGAUGAAAUGGACUGUUACUGUCUCUUACCUGAUUGAUCGAUAGUGUUCCAAUGGGAAGUGAAACAAGGAUUGUUGUCUUUGUUGUGAUCUGCACUGACAUGGAUGGCACCAAAAAAACUGCUCCUGCUAGUGAUAGGAAAGCCCAAGAAGCUACAUUACUUUGUGAAUGUCAGGGUACUAAUCACACUAACAAAACUGCCUAGAUGACCUUGAGCAUUUUUGUGUGGAUCACAAAAGUGAACAGAAGAUACAGAUGGAAGAAAAUGAACAACUGCCAUGUCCACCCUGACGUCACUGGCCUCCAGCAUCAAGCUAACCACCUUGCUUCCAAACCUUAC